ACGGGGAAGGAUGAGAAGCUUCGACUAAGGUUCGAUUCGAGCGCAGCGAGAAAGCGUUGCCGUAGGCAACGACCCGAAGGGCGAAGCGCGCAGCGCUGAGUCAUCCUUCCCCCACCACCA
rnacentral:sRNA from 1 species